rnacentral:rRNA from 1 species
UACGUAGGGUGCGAGCGUUAAUCGGAAUUACUGGGCGUAAAGCGUGCGUAGGCGGUUCGCUGUGUCCGAUGUGAAAGCCCCGGGCUUAACCUGGGAAUGGCAUUGGAAACUGGCGGGCUUGAGUGUGGCAGAGGGGGGUGGAAUUCCGGCGUGUAGCAGUGAAAUGCGUAGAGAUGCGGAGGAACACCGAUGGCGGAAGGCAGCCCCCUGGGUUAACACUGACGCUCAGGCACGAAAGCGUGGGGAGCAAACAGG